rnacentral:rRNA from 1 species
GCGUGAGUGAUGAAGGCCUUAGGGUUGUAAAGCUCUUUCGUCGGGGAAGAUAAUGACGGUACCCGAAGAAGAAGCCUCGGCUAACUCCGUGCCAGCAGCCGCGGUAAGACGGAGGAGGCUAGCGUUGUUCGGAAUUACUGGGCGUAAAGCGUACGCAGGCGGUUGAUCAAGUCAGGUGUGAAAGCCCGGGGCUCAACCUCGGAAUUGCGCCUGAGACUGGUCAGCUAGAGUUCGGAAGAGGAGAGUGGAAUUCCCAGUGUAGAGGUGAAAUUCGU